rnacentral:lncRNA from 1 species
CAUUCAAAUGAAGGUGAAAACUUGGCAUCUGAAGUGCCAAAAGCCUCUGAAGAUCUGGCCACCGACUUUGCCUGACUGAGCUCUGUUACUGAGGAAACCAGCAGGCAUGAAGCUGUCAGAGCACAGACUUCCACACGGCUGCAAACUACCAUGGCGACCAAGGCAUAUAGUGACAGAACUGAUGGCUCAUGAUCACUGGAUAUGGAAGAAAAGAAGGAAAGAAAGAAGGAAGGAAGG